GCCUCCUUAGCUCAGUGGUUAGAGCACUGGUCUUGUAAACCUGGAGUCAUGAGUUCGAAUCUCAUAGGGGGCU
rnacentral:tRNA from 1 species